AGAAAUGGAGGCAACUUCAAAUUGAGAGAGAUUGGGAAGGAAAUCGAGUUAUUGUUGUUCGAAUUGAUGAGAGAGGGCAAAUUGAAGAUAAAAUGGGGAUGGCUAUUGUUCUGUUCAACCGAGAGAAGAACUGGAUUCAGGUGAAGAGAGGGUUUUGAGUUUAAUAAUUGAUGUUGUUGCCUGUGAAUUAACGGAGGUUAUGGAGAAGAAAUCUGGUUCUGUAAUGAUUAAGAGAAGAUGGGGUCAACUUGGAUUUGAAUUUGAACCGAGAUUUGAAGAUGGGUUCAAAUGAUUCAGUGGAUGGAGUUGUAAUGGCUUCUUGGAAUGAAGAAGAUGACAACAUCCGUUGUUGCUGAAAUGGAGGUUUGCUGUCGAUUCAUAAAGAGAAUGAAGGUAUUGCAGUCUAGUUCAAGAAGUGUUGGUGUCUGUGGUGGCUCUGCAGAGAUUGCAGGAGCAGGUGCUGGUGGUUGAAAUGGAGAAGUUAAAUGAUGCAGAGCAAGUGGUGGUGGCUGAAAAUUACAAGGAAUGAUGUGUGGAGAUUUGAAGCUGAAGCUGCAGACUGGGGCAGCAAUGAGCAGUGACAAUGUAGUUUGUGUGAAUUCAAAAUGACAGAUUCGAAAUUGGUUGAAUAAGGAGAAGAAUUGGAUGAGCUGCUGCCAACACAGGGAAGAAUCAAUGUUGCUGCAAUGGAUAUGAAGAACAGGGAGAGAACAAAACUGCAGAAUUGAAGAGUGCAGCUGAUAUUGGAAGCUACAACAAAUGGAUUGAAUGUUUGAGGUUACAGGGAAGAGAUGGCUUGAGUCUGUGAAUUGCAGUAUUGCAGUUGUGCUGCAGGUGCAAUGGAAUUAUUGGGAGCAAAAGAAGGAUAACUCAUUCAUUUGGAGCGAAAAGAGCAAAAAGAUCCAUUCACAGGCAAUAUUUGGAGCAAGCUAGGUAGUGCAGGAGGAGUUAUGCCGGAAAUUAAGUUGUCAGUCUCCUAGAACUGACAAUUGAACUGAGAAUUAAGCUGUCGAUUUUAUGAAACCGACAAGCCAUGUUUGGGCUGGUCAUCCCUUAUCCUAACGCAUGGCAGUCUCAUGGGUUAACCCUACAACUAGCUCGGGGAGUUUCUUUGUCAUUACAAUUCAACCUAAAUUUCAGAGAAAAGAGGAAAUGGAGGCGAUGCUGUCUGAGAUUGAGGAACUGUUGUUCGUCGUUGAAGGUAGUCUCUGUAGCAGUAACAGAGAUAAACAAGGAGAAGAGAUGGAAAAGGAGGUCACUGCUUGGCUGUGAUUUCAGUGGGAGAUAGCCGUUGACUGCUUCCAUUAACGAUUAAGCUUGCAGUCAGAUUUGGUUUUGGCCCGAGUAUAGAGAUGAAGGAAGAAUUGGUUGAACUUAUGAGUUGUUGUGGUUGAAUUUGGCAGAGAAAGUCAUGUUGUUUCUGUAGUUCAAAUGGGUGAUUUUCAAGGGUUUUGAAUCGAGAAAUUGAGAGAAGAAUUACAGGGACGAUGGAAGAAUCUGGUUGCUGCCGAAGCAAUAACAAAUGGGUUUUGUGGUGUUCUGAAAUUGAGUCUAGCAGUAACAAAGAUGGGUUACAGUGAGCAGGCACAGCUGACUAUGGAGAAUGGUAAUGAAACUGUGGCUCAAGAACAAGGUGAUACAGGUGUAGUUUGCUGUUGCGUCGCAACUGAAAUGGAUAGAAGAGACUGACAACAAGCAGCUGAGACUGGUGGUGUUGCAAGAGCUACCGUUGACAGUGAUGGUUGGAGCUGAAAUGCAGCUGUAGGCUGAGAAGGGAUAGCAGUGAUGGAUGUGUUAGAAUGAGUCUUGCAACUGAAAUUGCAAGUAAAUGAGCAAGGCAGGGAAGGCUGAAAUGGUGGUGAUGUAAUGGAUAAUCAGUGUUGUUAUGGCCUGGAGUUCGUUGGUUAGGUGUUGCUGGUGACGGUUGGAAUGACACUGAAGUGGUGACACUGAUGUUGCAUCUGCGGUUGGAGAUAUGAAACCGGUGGCUAUGUUCGUUUGCCGUCGAAUUAAAGAGAGGAAAUGUUGGAGGUACUGGAAUUUGGGUUUGGCUGUGACAAUACAGCUGAGAAUGGUGUUGCAGGCUAGACGCAGGGAUGGUUGCUGCUACAGUUAUUAAGCUUGUUAAAUGGGUAAAGCUGCAGUUCUGGAUAAUGGCAUUGCAGGUGAGAUGGAGGUUCGAAUCUGAGCUCGAGUCAAGGAAGAGAUAUUAAGGCUGUUGCAGAUGAUUGCCAUGGAUUAGGUGGAAUUGUGUAAGACUGGAAGGCAGCGUUGCUGCUGCAAUGGAAGAAUGGCUUGAACUAUGAAGUAGUGGUGGUACUGAGCUGCAACUGAAGAUUGUGCUGUUUUGAAUGAGCUGGGUUUGACUUCAAGGGGGUUUUGGUAGUUUAAUGCAAUGGCUGUGAACUCAAAGAAGAAGGAUAGAAGCAACAGCUGGUGAUGGCAGUUGUUGUUGGUGUGAGGCUGAGCUGCAAAUGGUGGUCGCAACGCAGUUGUUGCUGGUGACUGCAAUUGAAGGUGAUGGUUUUGGAUGCAUCAACUGCAGGUGGUUGUUGAGCUGAAGGGUGGCAGGUGACAGUGGAGCUGUUUGUUGUGGCUAAGUGAUGCUUCUGAUGGCAAUGCAGCUGUAGGAAGUGAACUAUUGCAGGUGCAAGUAGUUCUGACAGAGAUGGAGCUGAAGACAAUGAAAAGUGCUGCUCAUUACAGGUACUUAUUGUUACAUGGAAGGAGCAUACUGGAGCAAUGGAUACGUUUUUCAACCUCCUCAACACUGUGACGAUUUCCCACCAUCUAUGGAAUACGAUCGGAACCAAUUUAUUGUCUAUGAUCAAUAUCCAAGAGCUUAUGGUGAUUUUCAUACAUAUCAACAACAACCUUGUAGUGGGUAUGUAAGUCAAGCACCUAGGUGGGACAAUUCUACUUUCAAUUUGCUUUAUCCGAGAUGUAUUUAUGCUAUAAAUGGACUGAACAUCGCACAAAACAAUUUCUGCAACACUUUUUCUUACCCGACUACGGAUCGUAGUUAUGAUCAUUCAUCCAUUCGAAAGGAAGAGUCAUGGGAAAGAGAACCUAUUGUAGCCAACGGUGGUAAGCGUGUGAACGUCAAGAAACUUGCA